AAUAGUCAUAUGUUUGAGAAAUUGAAGUAAUAGCAUUUCUAAGGUAUUUGAAUAACGCGCCACAGGAUUCCACUGGCUGUUACGUAGGUGGGACGAUUUCGUCCCACCGACCCCAGAGAGUUAAAUGGGCAAAUGGGGGCUCCCACCAUUAGUGUUUCCCUUCUUUAUAUCAGGAGCCAACGUGCUUCACAUGUCGGUCACUAAUUCUGCACCUCCGGGGAAUUCAGGUUAUCACCGUGUCCCAGAACUUAUCACCACGCUCCAGAACUUAAUUAAUUAGCUCUGGUAAUUAAUUAUUUGAGAGAAAGUAAUCAUUGGCAACCAAUUCUCACCUGGAGCACUUCUGUGACAUGUUCAAUUAAUUGAUCGGGGGGAAUCAAUUAGGUGUUGAGAUUAAUAUGACAGAACCUUGCACACUCCACUGCCCUCCAGGACCUACCCAGAGAGACUGCUGCUGAAGUUACCACUAGACACUGUCUGAAUACACAUAGAAAUACAAUUUCUGUACAUGUAUUUAACCAUCCAUAAUUCACUCUCCUGUGUUCCCAUUCAUACGCCUCAUGUUUCUAGGCUGAAAAACACAAAGCUGGCCUUGGAUCAGUGUCUAGGGGCAACUCCGUCAGCAAAGGUUAUGAUUGAAUGAGGGUAAACCAAUUCUACCCAGGAGCUUCAGUGAACCCUAUUCCCCAUAGUACUCUGUGACCGCGGUCGGAAGUAGUGCACUAGUUGUAGGAGUUUGAGACUGAGCUCUAGACCAGAGCCAUUAGGCCACCUGUUUAGGGUGGGCCAGGUAGUGUGCUAGGCUAUAUUUUGGGAAUAGGCCGUUACUGGAGCCACAGCUCCUGCCCAGAGAGCCAUCACCUGGCUGGUUAGGCUGCGGCAGCCCAGCUCCUGGCCAGAGAGCCAUCACCUGGCUGUUUAGGCUGCGGCAGCCCAGCUCCUGGCCAGAGAGCCAUCACCUGGCUGUUUAGGCUGCGGCAGCCCAGCUCCUGGCCAGAGAGCCAUCACCUGGCUGGUUAGGCUGCGGCAGCCCAGCUCCUGGCCAGAGAGCCAUCACCUGGCUGGUUAGGCUGCGGCAGCCCAGCUCCUGGCCAGAGAGCCAUCACCUGGCUGUUUAGGCUGCGGCAGCCCAGCUCCUGGCCAGAGAGCCAUCACCUGGCUGGUUAGGCUGCGGCAGCUCCUGGCCAGAGAACCAUCACCUGGCUGGUUAGGCUGUGGCAGCCCAGGGCCCUGCUGGGUUCAUAUUAAGAACUCUGACAGGAGAAUAUGGAGAAGAGUUCACCCACUGUACCUUCCCCUAAUCCAUUAUUCACUCUCAUGUGUUUCCAUUUAUACGCCUCCUGUUUCUAGCAACUGUGUUGACUGUCUUUGACUUGGGCAAACUUGGGACUAUUUAUGCAUGUACCUUGUAAAUCCUGCAUGCUCAUGUUAACACCAUUCGCUGUAGGUCUGCUGCUCAGUUAUAUUCACAUUAUAGUGUUCUUGUAAAAUGUCUUGCAUUAGCUCUAGGCUUAUAUUUAGAGAGCUUUGCAAGUUGUUGUUAGCUUUUCAUUCAGCUUUAAGUUGACUUGCAAUGUUAAAUGGAAAUUUCACCUCUGCUCUAUUUUACUAUACAUGUCCAUUAAUAUGUUAUUAAUAUAUCAUGUCAUAAAAAUUUAGAAUUUCCUCACCACAUGCAAAUACGAGUGUUUAUGUAUCUCACUGUUUAGAAACGGGCCAGCUACAUGGUUGUAAGCCAACCAUAAUAUCCAGAAUUCAUGGCGAUUUCAGGACGUGGAGGACCGCCCAAUUGAUGUUAGAGAUAUGAAAAUGUUUGUUUUUAGCCAGCACUUUCAGCCAGAGGAAGUCUCAGCUGAUGGGGUUGCCAUGUCAUCAUACUUUCAAAGGGGAUUUUAUUCCAUCGAUUUUCCCCUUCACUUCAAAGAGGAAGGCAUCCCAUCAGCCAACAUCAGCUCUGCAAGACAAGACGGUAAGAUAGUUAACGUUACCUAGCUAACAAGCUAGAGAACUACAUUUGUUAAUCUAAACCAAUCUAGCUAGCUAGCUUCAAUAAUACGCUGGCUAUAUUCCAUAGCAUAUCAAUGUAAUUAGCCAGCUGCUAUCUGGAGACACGAUUUGUAACUUUGCAAACUAAUAUAAGCAUCGUUAGGUUACGUUGGUUAACUGUUAGCCUCUGCUGUAGUUAGUUAGCUAGCUAACGUGACUAGCUGUGUUAUUUUUAGAGUCCGAUCCCAUCAUCUGCAGAGGCAUCAACAUCAAGCUCAGCACCAGGAACUAGUAAAAGACCAGACAGUUUUCUACAAGGAGCCAGAGUUGCAGCCCCCCCAAACUCAACAGCGCCAAAGCCUGCUAAACCAGCUGUCAUUUCCCAACACAAGAAGAGGUUCACCAGCUGAAAAACAUUCAGGAACAUGCCUGGAACGUUCAAUCAACACAACAUCCGUAUUCAUUUAGACUGAUGUUAUAGUAUAAUAUAGAAUGCCUAGUAUGGUCACAACUGCAUUUUGGUGUAUGUAUUGCUAGCUGUAUAUGUGUUUUGUAUAAUAUAUUUUACAACCGACUAAAUGAUUCCAGCUGCAUCAGAAACCAAUAAACUGUUGACUUAAA